rnacentral:rRNA from 1 species
AACGAACGCUGGCGGCAUGCCUAACACAUGCAAGUCGAACGAGACCUUCGGGUCUAGUGGCGCACGGGUGCGUAACGCGUGGGAACCUGCCCUUAGGUUCGGAAUAACUCCCCGAAAGGGGUGCUAAUACCGGAUAAUGUCUUCGGACCAAAGAUUUAUCGCCUUUGGAUGGGCCCGCGUUGGAUUAGCUAGUUGGUAGGGUAAAAGCCUACCAAGGCGACGAUCCAUAGCUGGUCUGAGAGGAUGAUCAGCCACACUGGGACUGAGACACGGCCCAGACUCCUACGGGAGGCAGCAGUGGGGAAUAUUGGACAAUGGGCGAAAGCCUGAUCCAGCAAUGCCGCGUGAGUGAUGAAGGACUUAGGGUUGUAAAGCUCUUUUACCCGGGAUGAUAAUGGCAGUACCGGGAGAAUAAGCUCCGGCUAACUCCGUG